GACGAACGCUGGCGGCGUGCUUAACACAUGCAAGUCGAACGGAAAGGCCCUGCUUUUGCGGCGUUCUCGUGUGGCGAACGGGUGAGUAACACGCGUGUAUCCUCCCCCUGUCUUUGGGGUAAAUCCACGGAACUGGGGAUCAUACCGGAUAUAAUCUCCUGCUGCAUGGGGGUGGUUGGAAAGUUUCGGCGGUUGGGGAUGGACUCGCGGCUUAUCAGCUUGUUGGUGUGGUAGGGGCUUACCAAGGCUGUGACGGGUAGCCGGCCUGGGAGGGUGACCAGCCACAUGGGGACUGAGAUAGGGCCCAGACUCCUACGGGAGGCAGCAGUGGAGAAUAUUGCAGAAUGGGCGGAAGCCUGAUGCAGCAACGCCGCGUGCGGGAUGACGGCCUUCGGGUUGUAAACCGCUUUCGCCUGUGACGAAGCGGGAGUGACGGUAAUGGGUAAAGAAGCCCCGGCUAACUACGUG
rnacentral:rRNA from 1 species